AACGAACGCUGGCGGCAUGCCUAACACAUGCAAGUCGAACGAGACCUUCGGGUCUAGUGGCGCACGGGUGCGUAACGCGUGGGAACCUGCCCUUAGGUUCGGAAUAACUUCCCGAAAGGGGUGCUCAUACCGGAUAAUGUCUUCGGACCAAAGAUUUAUCGCCUUUGGAUGGGCCCGCGUUGGAUUAGGUAGUUGGUAGGGUAAAAGCCUACCAAGGCGACGAUCCAUAGCUGGUCUGAGAGGAUGAUCAGCCACACUGGGACUGAGACACGGCCCAGACUCCUACGGGAGGCAGCAGUGGGGAAUAUUGGACAAUGGGCGAAAGCCUGAUCCAGCAAUGCCGCGUGAGUGAUGAAGGCCUUAGGGUUGUAAAGCUCUUUUACCCGGGAUGAUAAUGACAGUACCGGGAGAAUAAGCUCCGGCUAACUCCGUG
rnacentral:rRNA from 1 species